rnacentral:rRNA from 1 species
CCUACGGGAGGCUGCAGUGAGGAAUAUUGGUCAAUGGACGAGAGUCUGAACCAGCCAAGUAGCGUGAAGGAUGACUGCCCUAUGGGUUGUAAACUUCUUUUAUAAGGGAAUAAAAUGUGGCACGCGUGGGAUGUUGUAUGUACCAUAUGAAUAAGGAUCGGCUAACUCCGUGCCAGCAGCCGCGGUAAUACGGAGGAUCCGAGCGUUAUCCGGAUUUAUUGGGGUUAAAGGGAGCGUAGGUGGAUUGUUAAGUCAGUUGUGAAAGUUCGCGGCUCAACCGUAAAAUUGCAGUUGAAACGGGCAGUCUUGAGUCCAGUAGAGGUGGGCGGAAUUCGUGGUGUAGCGGU